CACCGGUCACAUUCUCUGCUUGUCAUCCAUAGUGGUCAUCCAGACCACGAGCCCACCACAAGCAGGUUACCCGUCAGAAAUGGCGCACCGGCACUCCAGGUGGAACAAGGCCCAUCACAUGGCGAAACACCACCUUCACGAAUUCCCAUCCAAAAAGCGAGAAACCAAAUAAAUACUACUAGGAACCCAUCAGCGGAGAGAAAAAAUAUGAAGACGUGAUACAUUUUUAGAAAAUAAAAUACAGAAGAACGGAAGAAAAAGCACCAAAAUCCAAAGUGAUGCAAAAAUCAAUGCGCCAAAAGUGAGAAGAGGCCCCUAAAAAGCAACUUGUUGCCAGGUUUUGCAGAGCUGCUGUGCAGCUAGUUGGAGGCAGAGGGUUAAAAUCCAGCUAGUAGUGAGUGAAAAAAAAGCUCCGUCUAUGGAAGGGCGGGCUGUGGGGAGGCCCUGACUGUAGAAAUAGCAGCAGACUUUUUCUUUUUUUUUUUCCCUCGCAGAGCUUAAGUCUCCCCCUUGCGUGUGGCUGGAGCAGAAAGAGGGGAGCAACCGAAACAGAGAGAGAAAAAGAAGAGAGAGAGAGAGAGAGAGAGAGAGAGAGAGAGGGGAAGAGAAGAGGAGACAGCGAGCGCACAGUGAAGGGGAGAAAAGCUCUGCUGAUGAUGAAAUAGGAGGUGCGGCGGAGCGCGCGAACCAGUCACUUUUUCAUCACAUGGCCAACACGGCAAGGAACUGUAUUUGCACUGGAGACGGGGGAGAAGGAGGGAGGGAGCAUAAGAUGGGUGGGAGACGGAGACACAGAGAGAGAGAGAGAGAAAGAGAGAGAGAGAGUGGGAGGGUGGAAAGCACUGAACGUGGGAGGGGUGGAGGAGGAAGAAUGACACAGAAAUCCACUCCUCCGGCAGUGCGCAGUCGCAGUGCACACACUCACACGCCAUACUGGGAUACACUAUACAGUACCUCAGCUACUAUAUUAACUGGUGAAAAGAAAAGCGAGCAAAAAGGAGAGAAAACACAAUCAUUCAGAGUGAGUGGACUGCCCUGCUGAAGGAUCCUUGAAAUAUGCAACACUUCUGAGAGCUGGUUGAAUUAUUAACCUUAUCUCUUACUGCAGUGGGGCUCUUGUCGCUGCAACAGUCUUGGGAGCACACUCUGAAAGAAGCACACACUCUCGGAGUCCAUUAACUCUUUAGCAUGCCACAGUGACUAGCGUGAAUGCACAGAAUAGACCAGUCGCGCGCGCACACACACGUACACACAUGCGCGCACGCACACACACUCACACACACACGUACACAUACACACAGGAAAAAGAUAAGCUUGCAGAGUGUUUAUUUCAGUAACAUGUGGCAAAGAACGCACGGCCAGGACCCUCCUCUUUGCCCCGGCUCUGUCACAAAGCAAACUGAAUGCUGAAGCUGAACCCUUGCAGCUAUUUUGGCACAAAGUCAAAAGGCUGAUAAGCAUUUUUGGGUGAGACUUUGCUGCUUUUCCUCGAGGAAAACCAGCUGCCACUUGCCGUGUGAAGCGCAUUCAACAGUUCAGUGAAAAUUUGGAGAAACCUCCUCAGAGAUGCUGAUUUGUCCGUUUUUUAAAAAGUGGGAGGGAUAAAAAAAAAAAAAAAAAGGAAAGAAAGAAAAUAUAAUCGUCUAAACAAUUUGUUCUAACCGGAUCCAUGCACCGAUUUACACGAAGAGUAAGCAAGCCAGAGAGGGAACUAGAGGGGGGAGACCUAAACAGCAUGGCUGUUUCCACCAUCUUAGAUUGUAUUGAUUAUUCUUUGCUGUAACGUCUGUCUCUCUCACACACGCUAGCUCUCUUUCUCUCCCUUCUGUCCCUCCCUCCCUCUUUCUGCCUCUGUUCUGCCACCUUCUGUACUCGGCGAUCAGCAUUUGGCUUUUUCCAUUUGUGGCAGAUUACUGUAACGCUAUUGUACAACAACUUCCUGCCUCUUUUGGCUCUGGUUCUAAAAACUGCAAAGGCAGAGCUCGUGGCUUUAACUUUUUCCCCUCGGCCUUGAACUACAGGAGCUCUAUAAGGAAAUAAAAGGAGGAAGGGGAUAUGUAAAGUGUAUCUGUUACUGAGGAACUAUUUUGAUUGCAUUUCUGCUUUGUAAACUGCUGAGCAUUAAAGAGGGGACUACAUGCCUAGCAGACACAAUGAGAGAAAAAAAGGAUUCUGACAGAAGAAGAAGAAAAGAGACACAGAGGGAAAAGAGCAAACGAGAGCUUCUCCUGGGAACAAGCUGGAAAUUAUGGACCUAUUCGAUAUCAGACCUCAGAGUGGACAACCUAUCCAAAGAGGGACGCGCCCUAACUGUAACUAACAACUACUUCUGGCAGCCCUUCCACAGCCAAACAUAUUGUCCUGGGUCAGGGCAGCUUUUGUAUGGCAGCAUCAAACUAGGGCAGCUAAGGAAAGAAAUCCACAUCAAACUACAGUAUCAUUGAUAGAAUAAAAAUUAUGAUAACAACUCAUUCAAGAUAAAUGAUAUAUACAUAUAUAUAUAUAUAUACAUAUAUCAUAGAGCUCAGUCUAUAUGAUAUAUGUGUAUAUAUAUCUAUAUAUCUAUAGAUAUAUACACACACACACACACGCACAUAUAUAUAUAUAGAUAUAUCUAUAUCUAUAGAUAUAUCUAUAUAUACAUAUCUAUAGAUCAUAUAGACUGAGCUCUAUGGUCCCUUCAUUUGGUCAUCAAACUUUAAAAGUUCCACUGACACAUGCAUACAUACAGAGUGAGAAAAAGACUGGACUAGGAUUUUCACACCUUGAGCCCGCUUAGACAAAAACGGGGACAAAACUGAUAGUCAUUAUGGAUUUUUUUCUAAUUGAAUAUUAUGUAUUAUGUGAACACUCCCACACACUUUUAUUAGUCCUGUGAUAUUACAAGACCAAAUUCAAACACUGAUACACGGAGCAAGUGUGUCAUUAAUGAAAAUGCAUGAAAUGAAUUAUGAUGCAGGAUCAUCUAAUGUUAGAAAUUAUAAACUUUUCCUCAUAAUAAUUGAAUAACUCCUUUUUAAUAAUGUCACCCUUUAUUAACUGUAAUUCCAAAGUUAUUAUGGCAAUUACAAGAGCUGUUUCAAUAUAAUAAAAAAAACCUUGUAUAAUGGACAUUAUGUGGUGUUAACUAAACCAUAGUGGGAAUAAAAGUUACCUAAGGCACUAACUUAACUGAGGUGCCGGGACAAAUUCUCAAAAGUCAAUGACGCAUUAUAAUAAAAAAGAAAAUUCUCCUUUUCUGUCCACUUGACCAGCCUGUGCUGGGCUUGUACAUACCUGAACUCUCCCUUUGCAGUUUUCCCCUGAGGUCUGCUAAUACCUACUUUAAACAGCCAUGGCCAUUUUGUUUUAUUCUUCCUCUACAUGAAGCCAGGAGUGCACCGGCCUGGCAUUUUAGGGGCCACGUCAAAACGCCUGUGCCUGCGCCGCAGGGCCGCAUGGAGUCCAGCAGUCGAGCCAUACGCACUCAGCGGUUCACUGCCUCGACAAACACUUUAUGUGUGCUGUUUUGUUAUCGUUCACACACUCUCUCUAGUGUCCUUGCUCUACUGAGAACAGCCAAACAUGCACCUAAUACACUUUAUCCAUUUCAUAAACAUGGUCUCCUUCUGACGCCUUCUGCUACACAGAGCCACUGGGCCUUCAGCCCCUGAAUCACUUCACAGCACUUCCUCUCUUCUGACUGCCACAUAAAGUUAGCUCGGUCACAAAAUAGCUUUGAUCAAAGACAACAAGUGAGGCGGGAAAUAUUGUAGAUACUCAUCCAAUUCCCAGUUCAGCGAUGCCAUUUAAUGAGCUUGAUAAUUGCUGCUAACUUUCUGCACACUUAAAAGAAAAUUUGGCAUCCUUUAAAAAGGGGGGAAACAGUACUGAUAUUGAUUUGAAAGUGACGAGGAUAAAAACACUGAUUAGGUAAAUUCCACUUGGGCUGACUGACUGUAAUUGAUGUGCGUAAUGUUAUUAGCACAAGGAUAUUUAUCUAUGUGUGAGAAAAGCAGCACUUCACAGGACAGCUGCAUAAACAGAGGUUUUAUUACUCCAUGGGCUAUUUCUGCACAUUUAGUGAGUCUUUUGAUUCCUUUAAAAUAUUGUUUUUAAGAGCAGCAAAAUAAUGUGUGUUUAAGACAUGCUUCAAAUUUCAAAGAAAACAGAUAUAUGUCUGAAAUGUACACUGCACAUAUUUCUUUUAAUUUCAUUUUAUUAUAUUAUAUUUAUUAGUUCUACCCUGUAUUUUACAGUGUUUGAUUGUCCAUAUUACUUAGAGUCUGUAGGUAUCGGAUAGUAAUGGUCAUCUGAGGGCAUAUCGUAAAGAGGCAUUAAUGUAAAUAUGGCCCUUUAUGGUGCUGUACACAGACGCUGCUCUCUGCAUUUUAAAUGAACAAAUGAGUUCAUACAGACACAGUGACUUGUUCUGUUAUUGUGCAUCAUGUUCAUGCCCAUUAGAUGAGCAAGUACAGGCAGUGAAGAACUUGGUGAUCUGAGGUCAUGCACAAUAUCAACCUGAACCUUUGGCGUACACAGGUGUUCUUUACUGUACUCCUCCUGUGUGUUAGCAGCUGGUUGGCUGGUGUGUUUGCUACAGAGGAGCACAGCUCUGUGCUUCUGCAGGGUAUAUUAGAUAAACUGGGUUUCUGUGUACAGCACACAAAUAUGCAGUUUAAAUUAUUUAAACAUUUUAAGUAUUCAUUUUUUUCCUGUUAAGUUGCCUGUUUGUAUACAAAGCUGUUGGAGCUGCAAUCCGUGUAAAUAAAAUCUAAUAUUAUUAUUA